AGGACUAUGUUAGAACUUUGCAAAGCAUCGCAUGAAUGUAUUAUUUUCCAGCUUUUCCUUAAGAAUGUUUUUAGUCAAUUUUUUGUUUGUCCCAGUUGUUAAUAUUGCCUUAGGCAGGUGUGCUCUUUAAACAAUUGUCACUGAUUGCUUUCAACAAAUGCCGCCUGUUUCCAUGGAUCAAGCUGUGAGUUAGGUCAAAUAAAAGCAAGCCUUGCAAAUGGAGCUUUCCAGGGCACCUCCAGACAGGUCAAAUAUCGUCAGUUCUCUGGAAUGGUGUUUUUGGGGAGCUCCAAAUCUGUUCUUCUCUCUCCAGUGGCUGCUAGGCUGCUAGUUUCAAAGCCACUAUGGUUAUUAGGUUAUUGGUUUCCAAGGCUACUGCAGAACUGAGGAAAGAGGGAUUAGAAUUGGGAUUCUACAGUGAAUGACGAGCAGUUUGUUCCUGUGUAGAGCUGCCAUAUUAGCAGGAAGCUGGGAAGUCUGACGGGUUUUCCCUUCUCUCUCAGGGGCAUGGAGUGUGAAGAAACAGGAGGAUCAAAAAGGAGCCACUAAAAAGCCAUAUCGCAGCCUUGCUGGAGGAGCCUUCUCUUUUCACUGAGAACAUAAGAAUUUGCAGCAUUUUUGGAGGAGGCCAAGCCUUACUUGCAGGAAGAUAGCACCAAUUAUAUGGACACAUUUUUAAGGAAUUAACCCUAAAGGAAACACCAACAUUCUUAGUGACAUAAGUGACUUGGUAGAUUACAGAAUAGUGAUGAGAAAUAUGAAUUCAUAGCAUAAUUCAUUUCAAUAACUCGGCAAAGUGAGAGAAGAGGAAACAGAAAGAGACAGAGAAAGAGAAAGAAGAAGGGAGGGAGGGCAUUUGUGUAUGUGUGUGUGCGUGCACGCUCCAUCUGUGCCUGAAAUUUGUUCCAUAUUUGCUUGGAGUCCCAAUUGUUUAGGGGGAUCCAUAGUAGAUGAGCCUGUUCCAGGACUCAUGGAAAAUAGUUCCCUUCUGCAUUGUUUGGAGCUGGACUCUGCCAGUGGUGGAAGAAAACUUUUAAACACAAUUACACUAUCAAGAUGUACAGUGAGUGAGUCAAAGGCCUGGACCAGCCUGGCCUGAGAUGAUAGAAUCAGAGGUAGGUCAUAAAUCUCCAGCUGCCUUAGAGUGUACGCCACA
rnacentral:lncRNA from 1 species